rnacentral:rRNA from 1 species
UACGUAAGGUCCGAGCGUUGUCCGGAAUCAUUGGGCGUAAAGGGUACGUAGGCGGUUAAGCAAGUUGGAAGUGAAAUCCUAUAGCUCAACUAUAGUAAGCUGUUAAAACGGCGGAGCUUGAGGUAGGGAAGGGGAAGUGGAAUUCCUAGUGUAGCGGUGAAAUGCGCAGAUAUUAGGAGGAAUACCGGUGGCGAAGGCGACUGCCUGGCCCUUAUCUGACGCUGAGGUACGAAAGCGUGGGUAGCAAACAGG